GUGCUCACUUCGGCAGCACAUACACUAAAAAUUGGAACAAUACAGAGAAGAUUAGCAUGCUCCUGUGCAAAGAUGACAUACAAAUCAUGACGCAUUCCAUAUUUUU
ensembl:snRNA U6 U6 spliceosomal RNA